rnacentral:lncRNA from 10 species
CUCUGGGUGGAGGACCAAUUUGCCCUGAGCCACUCCUGUGCCUCCACCUAUCCCUCCUCCUAAGGACAGAUGACAGGCAAGCCCCAGACCUGGGAGGCAGGACUUGAAUGAGGAGGGUGUGUGUGCCUGACCUUGGGUACAUGACCUUGUGUGCCUGUGUUUGUAAGCACUUGUGUCCAUGGGACUCUGUGGCUUGUCCAGGCCAUUUGGUUGUGUCACUCCCUAUGCCAUGACCCUGUGUGUGCAAGGCUUUCUGGACCAGUCCCAGGCGGAAAGCAAGCCUCAGCUGAGAGCAUUUGGAGGGAGAGCUUGACUGACUCUGGAUGAAAUCCUUCUAGGAUCCGUCUUGUAUCCUCCAGUGUGGUUGUGUGUUUGUGGCAUGCCAGUCCUUGUGCUUAGCUUGCUUGGUCUUUAUUUUAUUUACUAUCCUCACGUCAUCACUAUGAAGUAGGUACUAUCAUUAUCCUUAUCCUAUACAUAAGGAUAAGGCUACCGACCUUUUGCUAUUUGCUGCUCGAUUAAAAACAAGUCUCCCAACGACGGAAUUGAGGCAACUUGAUUGUUAAAACUCAUUCCAAACUUGUCUCCUUACAGCUUCCAUCACCCUGAUUCAGGCCUUUUCUUGGCACAACAACUGCAAAAGAUACAAAAAUUAGUUGCUGUUGGCUGGCUGUUUUAAUUUAUUUGCAUAUACAUAAUUCAGCCCCACCCCUGGUGGCUAAUACGCCCCCUGGGGAAGCUGUGGCUGUCUUCUGAUUGCUGGUGGGGAGGACUGUGUGUGUUGUUUUUUUAAAUAAACUGAAACCAGAUGGAGGGGGGUUUUGUUCACAGCCUUGCGUACAAUUUUCUCCAGCGAAUUCCUUGAAAAGUCAACCACCUAUGAGUGGUGCCUCUGCUCCGUGGAGGUCCCUCACCGCUGGUAUGCAAAUAUCGAGCAGGGUUGAUAUUUCUCAAGAAGAAAAAGAGCUUCUUGGCCUGAGGGCUUUCCAGAAUGCGGGGUCAUCUCCUGGUUGCCCCCAGUUUUAGGUCUGUACUUACAGUUAAUGUCCUCGCUCUCCUUCCGCCUUGUGUUGGGAGUGGGCUGGGGCGGGGGAGUCUUGGGCCAGGCUUGAGUCAAAUCACCUAGACCAACCACUUGGUAUAAAAAUGUGAAUUCCAGACCCCCACCUAUACCCCAUUUGCAGCACUGACCUCCGGCACGAGACCCCAACUGUCCAGCUGGGUUGAUUUUUGCAGUCAGCGGAGGGGUUAUUCUCCUAAAGGGGCCCAAGCCACUCCUGCUUCCAUCCUGGGAAGGCCAGAAGCUGGAGGUGGUUAUCGAAAUAUUUUUAACCGCCAGCCAGGUCCAAGGCUUUGUAAUGCCCCGGGAGCCCUCAUUAAGCGAUUCCUUGUUCAGAGAAAUGAGGCGAGUGUACCCACUGGUCACCCUGCCAGAGGUUUAGUAUUUUUUCUUUGGAACGUGAAUUGGGCAUUGUCGUAGUGAAGUGUGACCCAGUCCCCAGGCAAGGGAGAGCACUUCUUUCCCAGCUCUGACCUUCAUUCCUAGCUCAGAACACCUUUCUUUUGGAUUCCAAGCUUUUUCAGAUAAUUGUGUCAGGUUACAUAAGGCUCUGAGAUAUGAACACUCAAAGGAAAUUCCGGUGAGAGCAGGUCUGAGAGGUUCCUGCACAUAAUUUGCUUUAAAGUAUUCGAGGAAAACUUCAGGUGUCUGAGGCCAGCACAUUUUUGAAAUAAAAUAAGAGCAGCCAACAACUUUGCAUGGAUGUGCCAUUCCCCAUAGAAAUGAGCGAGCAAAAAGACAGAUUUCACACUGAAAGGAAAUACCCCUCCCCAGGGAGCCUGUGCAGGGGCGGGAGGGGGCUGGUGGGGGAGAGGCGGGAGUCAGUUGCAAGAGAACAGCUUGGACCAGGCUGCCAUUGAAAUGGAAAUCUUCACCAACCAGGAUCACUUUUUUCCCCCUUUCUGCAUCUUAGGUGACACGUGGUAAACACAAGACUUCAGUUUUCCAAGAAACAUAAAAUAAAAACUGAAUUACUGGC